rnacentral:tRNA from 1 species
GCUAUAUUAGUUUAAAGAGAAUGUAUAACUUGUAAUUAUAAGGUUAGUAUAGCU